CGUCGGUGGCAUUAGCAUUCUUGGAUACAGCAGGUGUGUACUCCCUGAAUCUUCUUUUCGGAGCUCCACAGACUGAAAAAAGAACAGUUUGACAGCACUAGUAAUGAACUCUCCCUAAACAAAUGCUAUUUAGACAUUUUCAGGUAAGCCAAAUUUGCAACUUCAAAGCAAGCAAGUAUUGAUUGUUGGAGAAUUUCUGGUUGUAUUAGUUUAAAACAUUGUUCCUUGAGUAGAAUUGGCUUUCCUGUUGCUCAAACGAAAAGAAAAUAUAAACCGCCCAGAAAGUGGAGUA